GUAGGCGGAUUGAUCAGUCAGGGGUGAAAUCCCAGAGCUCAACUCUGGAACUGCCUUUGAUACUGUCAAUCUAGAGUCCAGAAGAGGUGAGUGGAAUUCCGAGUGUAGAGGUGAAAUUCGUAGAUAUUCGGAGGAACACCAGUGGCGAAGGCGGCUCACUGGUCUGGUACUGACGCUGAGGUGCGAAAGCGUGGGGAGCAAACAGGAUUAGAUACCNUGGUAGUCCACGCCGUAAACGAUGAAUGUUAGCCGUCGGGCAGUUUACUGUUCGGUGGCGCAGCUAACGCAUUAAACAUUCCGCNUGGGGAGUACGGUCGCAAGAUUAAAACUCAAAGGAAUUGACGGGGG
rnacentral:rRNA from 1 species